GUGAAAAUGUUUCUAGUGUGUUAAUAGAUAUAGCUCUUAAUACAAUAAUUUGUGGUAAUGAAGAGAACAUGGUUUUCAAGAAUGGCUCUGCAAAUUUUGGUAUGUGAACAGUUAUUUCACAUGGUAUAAUUGCUGUAGCCAGAAUAGGGAUAAGAACAAACGACUCUCACCUGCUGAGUGGUACCUAAUACUUGGGUCCUCUAGCAGAGAUAAGGAGAGGGUUCUGAGCAGUAUCUUCCUAGAACUGAACUCCCACAAAUCUGGAAUCUAAUGGAGUCACUCUCCCAACAUGGAGGUUACAGCCCCAAGUACACUAUGGAAUGUUUCUCCAAUAGCCAUGAGAGACUUUAGCCCACCUGCCACGUCAAGGCAGACCUCUCAGGUACAUCCUACUCUGAC